rnacentral:rRNA from 1 species
CCUACGGGUGGCAGUAGUGGGGAAUAUUGGACAAUGGGCGAAAGCCUGAUCCAGCCAUGCCGCGUGUGUGAAGAAGGCCUUCGGGUUGUAAAGCACUUUCAGUGGGGAAGAAAGCCUUGGGGCUAAUACCCUCGAGGAAGGACAUCACCCACAGAAGAAGCACCGGCUAACUCCGUGCCAGCAGCCGCGGUAAUACGGAGGGUGCGAGCGUUAAUCGGAAUUACUGGGCGUAAAGCGCGCGUAGGCGGUCUGAUAAGCCGGUUGUGAAAGCCCCGGGCUCAACCUGGGAACGGCAUCCGGAACUGUCAGGCUAGAGUGCAGGAGAGGAAGGUAGAAUUCCCGGUGUAGCGGUGAAAUGCGUAGAGAUCGGGAGGAAUACCAGUGGCGAAGGCGGCCUUCUGGACUGACACUGACGCUGAGGUGCGAAAGCGUGGGUAGCAAACAGGAUUAGAUACCCCUGUAGUC